rnacentral:rRNA from 1 species
GAUGAACGCUGGCGGCGUGCCUAAUACAUGCAAGUCGAGCGAACAGACGAGGAGCUUGCUCCUCUGACGUUAGCGGCGGACGGGUGAGUAACACGUGGAUAACCUACCUAUAAGACUGGGAUAACUUCGGGAAACCGGAGCUAAUACCGGAUAAUAUAUUGAACCGCAUGGUUCAAUAGUGAAAGACGGUUUUGCUGUCACUUAUAGAUGGAUCCGCGCCGCAUUAGCUAGUUGGUAAGGUAACGGCUUACCAAGGCGACGAUGCGUAGCCGACCUGAGAGGGUGAUCGGCCACACUGGAACUGAGACACGGUCCAGACUCCUACGGGAGGCAGCAGUAGGGAAUCUUCCGCAAUGGGCGAAAGCCUGACGGAGCAACGCCGCGUGAGUGAUGAAGGUCUUCGGAUCGUAAAACUCUGUUAUUAGGGAAGAACAAAUGUGUAAGUAACUAUGCACGUCUUGACGGUACCUAAUCAGAAAGCCACGGCCAACUACGUG